GUUAACGUAAUUACUACAGUGUGGCUAACAUAACACUGUUUGUCGAAUGGUAUUUAUCACUUCAUUGUGGUAAUUCCCAUUUCAGUUCAAGAAUAACACAUGCAACAUAAUAUUNCACGUUUAUCGCGUAAUAUUCCUGAAUGAUAUGAACACUAUUACUACUAUUUGAAUGUACUCAAUGAAAUAUGAGAUGAUUCAUAUAGGGACAUGUAUGGUAAUGGUUUGUUCCAUGAUGGUAUCAUUUGUAUUGCAACCUGAGCUCAGGCGUGAUUACCCGCUGAACUUAAGCAUAUCAUUUAGCGGAGG
rnacentral:rRNA from 1 species